GAUGAAGAACGUAGCGAAAUGCGAUAAGUAGUGUGAAUUGCAGAAUUCAGUGAAUCAUCGAAUCUUUGAACGCACAUUGCGCACUUUGGUAUUCCUUAGGGCAUGCCUGUUCGAGCGUCAUUUAAACCUUCAAGCUAAGCUUGGUGUUGGGUGACUGUCCGCUUCACGGCGGACUCGCCUCAAAAUUAUUGGCGGCCGGUACAUUGGCUUCGAGCGCAGCAGAAACGCGAACUCGGGCCCGUCGUAUUGGCUCCCAGAAGCUAUCUUCACAAUUUUGACCUCGGAUCAGGUAGGGAUACCCGCUGAACUUAAGCAUAUCAAUAAGCGGAGGA
rnacentral:misc_RNA from 1 species